GGAAGUUGACAUGUCAUCACUUCAUUUUUUUGCGCCUGCGCAUAAAUCUGAGAAACGUGAGUUUGUCAUCAUUUUUUAUCUAGACAUAGGAUAGGUUGAGUGAAAAUAUUACUGAUGUUUAACGUUAAAAAUGGACCAAAAGAUUAAUGCUAAACAACAUUUGACAUGUUUGAACGAACAUAAAUAGAUUAUUUACUAGGUUUUUUUAGCUUUUCGGCGUGAUUUUACCAGCCUCCACCACGUUUUGUGGGAGCAUAAUGAACGCUAAGAACUUGGUGUUAUUUGGACAUAAAUUAUGAACUUUGUCAAAAGAAACCACAUUUGUUCCGGACCUGGAAUGCCUUCCGGACCUGGGAUCCUGCCUUCUGAUGGAGAUAAUCAAAGACCUUUCUGCUGCCUUUGAUACUGUGAACCAUCAGAUCCUCCUCUCCACCCUCUCCGAGUUGGGCAUCUCCGGCGCGGCCCACGCUUGGAUUGCGUCCUACCUGACAGGUCGCUCCUACCAGCGAGUCCCAGUGGACCCUUCACUUCAAACACACCAAAGACAAAACAGCAGCUCACUCAGUAUCUCAUUCAGGCUGUGCUCAAAUGAAAGAUAGAGAUCCUUCACUUCGUUCAUGGCUCUAUCAGCCACUCCUAGUCGAGGACUGUGCUCUCUCUCUGUUUGGUAUUAAAGUACUUUGCUGUAACUUGUGUCUUGAGGUUAUGAAUGGACUGUAUCAAUGUCUUGUAGGUUGAUUGAAUAGACUACGGUAGCUAAAUAAUUGACUGUGUCAUGUAAUAUGUCCUGUUAUGAAUUGUUUUUGUACGCAGUGUCUUAGAGUUACAGGUAAUGCCUUGAGGUUAUACAUUGACUGAGCACUCUUAGAAGUAAAAGUUCCUGGAAGAACCUUUUCGGGUUCUAAAAAUUGCCAUACCAGUGGAACCUUUCCAGUUCUAAAAGGUUCCUCGAGGAACCCCUGUGUAAAGGGUCUUCGAGGAACCCCUGUGUAAAGGGUCUUCGAGGAACCCCUGUGUAAAGGCUCAAACCGGAACCUUUUUGUGAUGGAAGGGGU
rnacentral:lncRNA from 1 species